GAUGAACGCUGGCGGCGUGCCUAAUACAUGCAAGUCGAGCGAACAGACGAGGAGCUUGCUCCUCUGACGUUAGCGGCGGACGGGUGAGUAACACGUGGAUAACCUACCUAUAAGACUGGGAUAACUUCGGGAAACCGGAGCUAAUACCGGAUAAUAUAUUGAACCGCAUGGUUCAAUAGUUAAAGACGGUUUUGCUGUCACUUAUAGAUGGAUCCGCGCCGCAUUAGCUAGUUGGUAAGGUAACGGCUUACCAAGGCAACGAUGCGUAGCCGACCUGAGAGGGUGAUCGGCCACACUGGAACUGAGACACGGUCCAGACUCCUACGGGAGGCAGCAGUAGGGAAUCUUCCGCAAUGGGCGAAAGCCUGACGGAGCAACGCCGCGUGAGUGAUGAAGGUCUUCGGAUCGUAAAACUCUGUUAUUAGGGAAGAACAAAUGUGUAAGUAACUAUGCACGUCUUGACGGUACCUAAUCAGAAAGCCACGGCUAACUACGU
rnacentral:rRNA from 1 species